CGCAGCCGCGGUAAUUCCAGCUCCAAUAGCGUAUAUUAAAGUUGUUGCAGUUAAAAAGCUCGUAGUUGAAUUUCGGGACCAAUCUGCCGGUCGUGCCUCCGGUACGCACUGGUUUUAUUGGUCUCUCCCUUCUGACGAACCAUGAUGUCAUUAAUUUGGUGUCAUGGGGAAUCAGGACUGUUACUUUUGAAAAAAUUAGAGUGUUUAUAGCUAGGCUCACGCUUGAAUACAUUAGCAUGGAAUAAUGAAAUAGGACGUUUGACCCUAUUUUGUUGGUUUCUAGGAUCGACGUAAUGAUUAAUAGGGAUAGUUGGGGGCAUUAGUAUUCAAUUGUCAGAGGUGAAAUUCUUGGAUUUAUUGAAGACUAACUACUGCGAAAGCAUUUGCCAAGGAAUGUUUUCAUUAAUCAAGAACGAAAGUUAGGGGAUCGAAGACGAUCAGAUACCGUCGUAGUCUUAACCAUAAACUAUGCCGACUAGGGAUCGGAUGAUGUUAAUUUUUUUAAAUGACUCAUUCGGCG
rnacentral:rRNA from 1 species